UUGACCUCAAAUCAGGUAGGACUACCCGCUGAACUUAAGCAUAUCAAUAAGCGGAGGAAAAGAAACUAACAAGGAUUCCCCUAGUAACUGCGAGUGAAGCGGGAAAA
rnacentral:rRNA from 1 species